AUGUUCCAAGCUCCCGAAAACUGCCUAGGACUGCCUGAUAUCAAGGAGGCGGUGGCACCCCCACCGCCUGGCAGGCCUGGCUCCGGGACGGGCUUCUCCGCGAGAGGCCGAGCUCGCCCCAGGGCGGGAAAGGAAGCCAGAAAGCUCGAGGCGCCAAGGACGGGAGCUUGGCGGGGGCGAUAGAGUCCGAGGCCGCGCAGCCGGCACCCGCCCGGAGCGCAAACGAAAGCGUGAGAGGGAGGGAGCGUCGGAGCCAACCUUUCCAUUUUCCUUUUGGGUUAAUGUUUUCUUCUCCAUUUUAUGACAUUUUACUCGAUUUUACCCGUUUGUAGUUGUAAAGUAAGGCGGUAUUUACUCUUUCUGGAAUUAAAUGAGAGAAAGUUAACUAUUAGCUCUCGAGCCCUUAUGUAAACGACACCAGUUGCUUUUGGCACCGUUAGGCUCUGGCUUUUGUAUAAUUUGUAACAAGGAGAAUUGAAGCUAUUCCAUUGUGUUGCUCUAUGUUUUUCAGAGAUAAGACCAGAGUUACAACGGUAGUGAGGGGCCCCUGUGUCGAUAGGUAUGGGCAAUAUACAGUUAUAUUCAAGUAAGUUUAAGGAAUAGAAGCAAUAAUUACCCUCCCCCAAAAAGUUUUAAAUAUUUUUGAACAUACUUGUUGCACUUCUUCAACUUGAGGUAUGCUGUUUUUCUUGCAGAGAGGCAGUGGGGUGUGUGCUGGAAAGGACUAAACUUUGCAGUCAGACAAGACUGGUUUGCAAUCCUGACUUUCCUGCUUUAUCUUUAUGAUCUUCAGCAGAUUUUUAUGUCUCUGAACCUCAGCUUCUCUACCUGUAAGAUGAAAUAGAAAACAUAGGUAUAGUGCCUAGCUCACAUCAAGUAGGCAAUAAAUAUCGUUUCCCAUCCCCUUUCUCCCACCAUUUGUCACAUUAGAAAAAUAUCUAAAUAGAGGCGCCUGGGUGGCUCAGUCGGUUAAGCGGCCGACUUCGGCUCAGGUCAUGAUCUCGCGGUGAGUUCGAGCCCCGCGUCAGGCUCUGUGCUGACAGCUCGGAGCCCGGAGCCUGUUUCAGAUUCUGUGUCUCCCUCUCUCUGACCCUCCCCCGUUCAUGCUCUGUCUCUCUCUGUCUCAAAAAU
rnacentral:lncRNA from 1 species